GUAGUACUCCCUCCGUCCGGAAAUACUUGUCCUAAAAAUGGAUGUACCAUUUCUAGGACAAGUAUUUCCGGAUGGAGGGAGUAGUAC
rnacentral:pre_miRNA from 1 species